rnacentral:rRNA from 1 species
UAAAACCUAUUUAUAAUGGCGGCAUUUCAUCUUAUUAGAGGAACUUGUUUUAUAAUCGAUAAUCCACGAUAAUUUUCACUUUAAUUAAAAAUUUAUAUACCGCCAUCUAAAGAGCUAAUUUAAUAAUAUUACUCUUAAUAAAAUAUAAAAAGUUAGGUCAAGGUGUAAUCCAUAUUAAAGUUAAAAAUGAGUUACACUAAAAAUCAAUUAAGGAUUAAAUAAUUUUAAUUAUUUAUAAAAAAGGAUUUAAAAGUAAUAUAUAAUAAACAAUAAUUUAUU